UGCCAGCAGCCGCGGUAAUACGGAGGGGGUUAGCGUUGUUCGGAAUUACUGGGCGUAAAGCGCACGUAGGCGGAUUGGAAAGUAGGGGGUGAAAUCCCAGGGCUCAACCCUGGAACUGCCUCCUAAACUAUCAGUCUAGAGUUCGGGAGAGGUGAGUGGAAUUCCAAGUGUAGAGGUGAAAUUCGUAGAUAUUUGGAGGAACACCAGUGGCGAAGGCGGCUCACUGGCUCGAUACUGACACUCAGAGGCGAAAGCUAGGGUAGCAAAAGGGAUUAGAUA
rnacentral:rRNA from 1 species